rnacentral:rRNA from 1 species
UACGGAGGGUGCGAGCGUUGUCCGGAAUUACUGGGCGUAAAGCGCACGUAGGCGGCUUUGUAAGUUAGAGGUGAAAGCCCAGGGCUUAACCCUGGAAUUGCCUUUAAGACUGCAUCGCUAGAAUCGUGGAGAGGUGAGUGGAAUUCCGAGUGUAGAGGUGAAAUUCGUAGAUAUUCGGAAGAACACCAGUGGCGAAGGCGACUCACUGGACACGUAUUGACGCUGAGGUGCGAAAGCGUGGGGAGCAAACAGG